rnacentral:rRNA from 1 species
UGAGGAAUAUUGGUCAAUGGGCGCGAGCCUGAACCAGCCAAGUAGCGUGAAGGAUGAAGGUCCUAUGGAUUGUAAACUUCUUUUAUAGCAGAAUAAAGUGACCCACGUGUGGGUUUUUGUAUGUAUGCUAUGAAUAAGGAUCGGCUAACUCCGUGCCAGCAGCCGCGGUAAUACGGAGGAUCCGAGCGUUAUCCGGAUUUAUUGGGUUUAAAGGGUGCGUAGGCGGAAAGAUAAGUCAGCCUGUGAAAGUUUGCGGCUCGACCGUAAAAUUGCAGUUGAUACUGUUUUUCUUGAGUGUACAUAAGGUAGGCGGAAUUCGUGGUGUAGCGGUGAAAUGCUUAGAUAUCACGAAGAACUCCGAUUGCGAAGGCAGCUUACCGGGGUACAACUGACGCUGAUGCACGAAAGUGUGGGUAUCAAACA